CAGCAGCCGCGGGAAUACGAAGGGGGCUAGCGUUGCUCGGAAUGACUGGGCGUAAAGGGCGCGUAGGCGGUUUUGACAGUCAGAUGUGAAAUUCCUGGGCUUAACCUGGGGGCUGCAUUUGAGACGUCAAGACUAGAGUGUGAGAGAGGGUUGUGGAAUUCCCAGUGUAGAGGUGAAAUUCGUAGAUAUUGGGAAGAACACCGGUGGCGAAGGCGGCAACCUGGCUCAUUACUGACGCUGAGGCGCGAAAGCGUGGGGAGCAAACAGGAUUAGAUACCCCAGUAGUCCCUGUCUCUUAUAC
rnacentral:rRNA from 1 species